rnacentral:misc_RNA from 1 species
AAGACUAUAGACCUGCGGAGUACCUGCGGAAGGAUCAUUAAUGAGUUUCUAAAACUCCCAACCCAUGUGAACAUACCUCUGUUGCCUCGGCGGCCUACCCGGUAGCUACCCUGUAGUUACCCUGUAGCCCGCCGAAGGACAUCAAAACUCUGUUUUUAGUAUUAUCUCUGAGAACAACUUUUAAAUAAGUCAAAACUUUCAGCAAUGGAUCUCU